ensembl:lncRNA
CUCCACAUGUCUGCUGCUGCAAACGCUGGGAACAUGGCGUCGGCCCUCGGUCGCCUGGUCCGGCUGUCAGCUCGCUGCUCGCCGCUGACACCUUGCAGGAAGACGGCGACACCGAGCCGGACAGCGGUGACCACGUCCUCCGGUGCCAUCCUGCCCAAACCCAAGAAGACAUGGAUCCUGAAGCUGGUGGACUACACACCACCAAGGAAAUACACUGGAGAGCUUAUGGGGUGGAGUAUCUAUAUGAACAGACAGGCAGGGCGCUGGAAGACUACAAGUGCACACUGGAUGCCAUGGAGACAGACACCAGCGUGGCUGAGGAUGAUUUGCUGGAGCCAGAGGAGUUUGAGGACGUCACUGUCCCCUUGCUGGAUGCUCCUUCACUCACUGGUACAUCUGCUACAGCACCUCUACUCACUACAGGCAAGUCUACCGCUCCUGCGUCCCCUUCUGGUCGUGCUUGCCCAGGCGAUUCCUCUGCUGGGGCCUCUCCACUUACCACAGACACAUCUGCUACUGUGUCUGCAUCUGACCCAAUGUAAGGUUAUUUUGAUCUUGCAUCACUGCAGGCUUUAUAAUUGUGAAUUAUAAGACAGCUACUGUAAUAUCUGGUUAUUAUUUUUCAAAAUAGCAUGUACACUUAUCUUUUAUUGCUAUAUUUCACACUGCCUUAAUUUUCCAGGUGUUUCGUCAGGUCCCAAGGACAGCCAGAGCCGUUCAACUCAGGUCAUCCAAGAAAACUCUACAAGUCCAGAUGCCUUGCUUCAAUCAUCUCUAUGAAUAUGACCUGGAUGACUGAGACUCUUCAUCAGCAUACACCAGUGUGUUGUCAACAAAGCCUGUGUGAUGGCUGAGACCACCAUCCAGCUGCCUGAGGUGAACACAGCAAUGCUGGCAUGACGGUGAGUAAAUCAUGAAGUAUGUGUACCAUGUCAGCUGUUUUGUUCUGUUCUGUUCUGUUGUUGUUGUUUUUUUCAGGUACAACAAUCAGAGUCGGGCUCGGGAGACCGAGGUGCUUCAGCAGGCCAUUGAGUCUCCAAAGGCUUCAAUUGCAGCAGCCAUCCACACCUCAGAGAGAAGCUCUCUUGACCAUGGCUGCAGGAGACAACCUGCACAGCUUUACCCUGCCAGCCAAUACAGCAGGCAUGGCCAGGUUCAAAAGGCAGCUGGUGUUUGGGGGGAGACAGACCCCCCAUCUCUUCUCUGAAUCUUGAGGCCAGCCUGGCAUCUGCUUCACUGCAGCAUCCUGCCACCAGCGCAGCAUCUUUACUGCAGUGUAUAUGAGUGUGUAUGUAGUGUAAACACAUUCUUUUGGUAUCAGUUUCCCCCUGUACAGGUUCAUAGCAUGAUAGUAGAUUGAACAACAGGUCUGCCAGACAGCAUAGUUUGACCUCUGGAAUGUGUGGAUUCUUAAAACUGUGAAUCUGCCUUUAUCACAAUUAAAUGAGGCUAUAAACAUUACAAAAGCCUUUGUUCAGUUUUUACAGGAUUUGUAAAUACAAUCUGAUUUCAGUGUUUGUAAAUACCAUUUAAUUCCAUAAAAUACUAAAAAAAGAUGUUUAUCCAAAUAUGAAUUUAGACUAAUAUUAAGAGGCUUUAUGAGCAGUAAAGACUGCAAAUAAACUCCUACUGGUCCUUUACA